rnacentral:lncRNA from 1 species
UUGAGUUCAACCAUCAAAAUUACUAUGUUCAAAUAGUUUAGAAAAUCACCACGUAUCUAGGUCGCUAAAUAUUUACUUAGUUCAAGAUUAAGGUGGGUUAAGUCCUACUUCUAAAUCCCGAGAAUGCCAAGCUUACUAACACAAGUCUAGUUUCUACCUCGAAUCAAGCUAGGUCAUCUAUACCUCACCAUAAAGUCUUACCAAUCCUUUCUAGGUCUAUACGGAAAGUUUCUUCAAGAAUCCUUCCUAAGUCAAUCCAACACCAAGGUCAUCUCCUAUAUAGGCAUCAUAUAGGUCAA